UACAGAGGUCUCAAGCGUUGUUCGGAUUCAUUGGGCGUAAAGGGUGUGUAGGUGGCGCGCUAAGUCGGGUGUGAAAUUUCGGAGCUUAACUCCGAAACUGCAUUCGAUACUGGCGUGCUUGAGGACUGGAGAGGAGACUGGAAUUUACGGUGUAGCAGUGAAAUGCGUAGAUAUCGGGAGGAACACCAGUGGCGAAGGCGACUUCUUGGCCUGUUCUUGACGCUGAGGCGCGAAAGCUGGGGGAGCAAACGGG
rnacentral:rRNA from 1 species